rnacentral:tRNA from 1 species
AAAUAAGAAACAAAAUUUGUAAUUAGUUUCGACCUAAUCCCUGGCAAUAAGCCCUUAUUUU